CAAUGUAUUAAUGUGAGAUUAUUUAUAUUUUGUGAAGAAUGAACAUUUUUUUGUAUCUCAUAAUGUUGAUUAUGGGGUGCUUAGAUUCCAGACAUUAUGUGACCCUAGCAUUCCUAGAUAAAUUAAAGAGCUUUUAUCUCCAAAUGGUUUGAAGCUAUUCGAGAAGACAUGCUUUGGUUAUUUACUGUCAUUUCCCAAUUUAUGCAUGCAAAAUCAAGCUAUUCAUCUUUUUAUGAAGUAUGAAUUUAAUUCAUCCGAUGCUUCCUAUUUUUCAGCUGAGUUAAAAGGUGAGAGGUUAAAUUUUGGAUUGAGAGAGUUUGCAUUAAUAACUGGUCUUAGAUGUCAUACCCAGGUGACAAAGUUUGGUUACACUACGAAUUAUGUCAGUAAGAUAAUGAGCAGUUACUUUCCAAAUAAGGUAAAAGUGGAGAAGACAUACCUAAAACAGAUUGUAAUCAAUAAAAGUUGGGUAAAUGAUGAGGAUGCAGUAAAGUUAUGUAUUCUAUAUCUCAUAGAAUUCUUCAUUUGUCCUUCAGAGAAAGACCAUAUUGGGUUGGUAGAUCAUUUUAUGUUUUAUUUGGUAGAAUCCAAUCAGUACGAGACAUUUCCAUAGGGUAUUCAGUCUUACAGACAAUUGAUUGAAUUAGUUAGGCACAGGCUAAAUCCUUUCGUUCAUUCUUAUCUCAUUCGAGAGUUCCCACUAGCCAUGCAAGUAUGGUUGUAUGCGUGUUGCUCCUCCGUCAACACUGAUAUAGCUACAAGGAUUUCUAAUUCAAUCCCUCGCAUACUUAACUGGUCAGCUAGUAAAGGUCAGAUUUGGUUAGCUGCAAUUGAAGACAAAAUGAUCAAGCCUGAAUGGAUGAAAGUAAAUGGUUUUUAUUUAUGAUUAUACAAUUUACCUACAAAAUAUAUACAAUUUGUCUACAUAUUCUGCCUUAAUCAAGCUAAUUUUUUUCUUAUUCAGUUCACCAACAUAAAUGAAUCACCUGAAGAGCUUUCAGUGAUGUCUUUGCCUGAUAAAGUUGAGCAUAUAAUUGAAGAGGUUGAACAUGUUUCUGAGGAUCCCAAAGUUGAUGCUCCUCCAUUGGAACCAAAAGAAUUAAUUGGAAAAGAGGACAAGGAGUCUAUUCUUCGUAAAGUAAGAAAGUUGAAAUGUCUUUGAAGAACUAGGUAGCCUUCGAGUGCUAAUAAAUGAGUCAGUCAAGACUAUUUUGCAGGUGAUAAACAGUCGAAAUAAUCAGGUUGAUGCAAAGAACAUGUUGAAGAUGCACUUGGUGAAGAAAAUCAUCCAGCACGUGUUGAUUUAUAUACACAUUUUGAAGGUGCAGUUGAUGAAGAGAAUGCAUAGAGGGAAGAUAUGCAUGCAAAAUCUCCAAUUCACGGAGUGACAGUAGCAACUCAAAGAGAAAAACAGAAUGAGGAAGAUGACAAUGUAGGUGAAGAGGUAGAGUAUGUGAAUGUAGGUGAUUCAGAAGACUCCGGAGGUGAGAAGAAGGAGGUUACACUUGAUGAUUUUGAGCUGCCCGAUAAUUUAUCCCAAUUGGUUAAGUUCGACGAGCCUAUACAAGAUGAAACAACACUCGUGCAUCAAGAUAGAACAAGGUAGCCGGGAAAGCAUGCCCGAUCGCCAUUUCUCCCUUUAUACAGUUCUGGUGGCGGCACCUCGGUUGGACCUCAAAUUUUUCACCUCAAGCAGCCAUUUACUAGCGUUAUUGGUCAAAAUGUAGAUCCUGAGUUGUUGCAUCAAUUCAACAAGUGGUUAUACUACGGUACCGACACAGAUUCAAAGAGGAGGAAGGCUCUGUAUUCUAUAAAGGACAACCAAAUUAAGACAUGGUUUGAUCUUGGAGUGGAAAAGGUUGACAAGAAGGAGUGGUUCUUUUCCCUGGCACACUCCGGACAAGUCCUCAAUGACUCGCGAUUGUGGUGUAUUUGUUGCUGCCUUUGCAGAGUAUGUUAGUCUUGGAGAGUUAUCAAUUCCGGCAGAAGACCUUUCUGAUAUUGACCAACAUCGUAGAUGCUAUGGAGCACUACUUUGGGACUAUGCUAGAAAGAAGCAGGAGCAUGGGGCAAUUAGUGAAAGUGAGGUGACAGGCAAAUUGGCAAGGAGAAAAGGUGCACCAGCUUUGAAUGAGAAAACACGAGUCCAGAGGAAGAAGAAGUAGUUGUAAUGUUUUGUAUGGAACAUGUAGUACAAUUAUUUAGUUGAUGCUAGUUUAGAAGAAAGAUGGUAGACAAGUUUUUGAACAAUAUUGUUGUGUUUUAAUUGUAGCAGACUUGCGCUACAAU